rnacentral:rRNA from 1 species
UAAUACGUAGGUGGCAAGCGUUAUCCGGAAUUAUUGGGCGUAAAGCGCGCGCAGGCGGUUUCUUAAGUCUGAUGUGAAAGCCCACGGCUCAACCGUGGAGGGUCAUUGGAAACUGGGGAACUUGAGUGCAGAAGAGAAAAGCGGAAUUCCACGUGUAGCGGUGAAAUGCGUAGAGAUGUGGAGGAACACCAGUGGCGAAGGCGGCUUUUUGGUCUGUAACUGGCGCUGAGGCGCGAAAGCGUGGGGAGCAAACAGGAUUAGAUACCCUGGUAGUCCACGCCGUAAACGAUGAGUGCUAAGUGUUAGAGGGUUUCCGCCCUUUAGUGCUGCAGCUAACGCAUUAAGCACUCCGCCUGGGGAGUACGGUCGCAAGACU